UUCGGUUUUGAACUGGAAACAUAAUACAACGCACGCACCCUUUCGGGAUAUAACUAUGGAGUAAUUUCACGCCAUGAAAAUACCCAACAGCAAUCUACAAGAGUUCAAAACAUGUUUGAAAUACUCAAAUCCCUUUGGAGAAAAUAGGACAAACCCCCAUUUGCACCUGGAGAUUUGAAGUAAGCAGAGCUUUUUAGGUCCCACUAAGUCGAUUAUAUAGCUAUAAUUCUAGGGGCAAGGCACUGUGCAAACGAGAGCAACUCUGAGAAAUUCUGAGUUACUCCUUUUAUCGAUGAUCGACGAAAUUUGUUGAAAGACAUCCCUUAAACUGCAAUUUUCAUUCAGCACACGCAACACUUUGGCAGUUUGACAUUGGUGCCAGAUAACACUUUGGCAUAAAUGGGAGAAAUUCUGAGGAACUGUGAGGAAUUCUGAGCAACACCUCGAGCACAGAUUUGCUCUCGUUAGAUCUGUCUCGCCCCUAGCUAUAAUUCUCAAGCGGAAGCUAGAGAUUCGUAACUAUACAAAAGAAUGGUUUAUCCGAAGAUAUUUUGAACUUGAACAGAUCAGAGUUCCAUUCAGGAAUACCUCUUGCGGUCCGCACAGACCGCAGAAGACAAGCUUCUUUCAAAGCAAUAGUUAUGGUAUACCACAAUGGAGGGCGUUGUAGGUACAAAACCACAAUGAAACUCUCUUGGAGUAGCAAUGGAAGCGAGUUAUCCACAAAACGUGGUCGCAACCAGUUAGUACAGGUUCCCUAGUUCGUUGAGCAGGGACGCCUGAAUACGCAAAUUUUGCGAAGGAACACUCAAAAGUGCAAAGAAGGUCAAAUGGAGACUCCUCAUCUGACACAUGCCAAUCAGUCAGCUCAUGACAAAUUCUGCUCAUGCAGAGUUGGGUUAGGUGCAAUUCUAUGUUAAGUUAUCCUUGAACUGUACUACCUAAGUAAUCCAUCCAACUGAAGCAUCUCAAAUUAAUGUUUGAGCUACUUCAGAUGAUGUAAUCAUCGUAGCAAUACUGCCAAAUGCCAGCGAAAAGAUGCUGUAUACAAGAGCUUGCUUGAAGGCAUCCAUAAGGAUAUGUUGACUGUUAACGUUAUUCUAAGAUAUAGCAUGCUCGAGGCAAGAUACUUCAUUUAUAAUGAUAAAAAAAAGCAAACUGGGUUCACAAGGUAACCUAUGCAGACGGUACCCUACGAAAAUGAACUUUUCGAAGUAGAGUCACUUGGGCUACGCACGCUUUUUACGCUGAAAAUUGAUCGGAGGUUUCCUAGCCGUAGCCACUACCCAAACUAGACAGGAUUACACUCUUCACAAUCACAGCACAAAAAGAAAACAUCAACGACAAACCAAAUCGGUGUCAAUUGAAAAACGCCAAUGGCGAAAACGCAUUAAGCGAAACCACAUAGGUAGUAAUGUAAGCUAAUUUACAACAUUUGAAUAAUCCCGCUUUUAUUUAGCCUCAAAUUUGAGACUCAAGAAGGGCAACUGUUUAUCUCGGAGAGACGCAAGGUCCACUGCACUAUUGCUCCGGUUAGUGCAGUAAGGGCAUAAUACUGUGGAGGACGCCCUAAUUCACCACAGGCUCCGUUUGUGGUUAGGUUUUUAUUAUUAUUUCUUGACCCCCCUAACCAUUCAUUCCUUGGCACGGUAAGCAUAAAGCCGCAUAACACCAUGAAUUAGGGGUCACCUGUUUAGUGGACUCUUACCACUGGAUCAGGCGGUCCGUAGUGUUAUUCUUAGCCAAUUGAGACAACCGCUACCGACACUACACAGCUAUCUAGGCUGAUCAGGAAAAGAAGUUAACAUUGAUGGUUAACUUCCAAACGAGCCCAAAAUCAAAAGCCGUCUACGAGGGGGAAUGGGGGUGGUCUGAGAUUACCAAAAUUUAGUUGCUUAGUUUAUGGACAGCGCCCUACCAGUUGAUGCCUAGCUCCAAUGAGCUGUGUGAUAUACUCCAAGGAUGCACCAACAAGUUUAAUUAGAAACUACAAAUUCUCGAAUUCUCCAAAAUUUCCUGGACCAGGAAUUUCACUAAGAAUUUACGCUAAAGCUUCACAAAAAAAAAAACAGAUUUUCCCGACAACUCGCUCCUGUUUUCUCCAAACAUUUUUUUCACCAGUUCAACAAAAGAAUACAGUAACAAAUUUUGAAAACGACGUAUAAUCAAUGCCCAGGUAACCACUAAGCACUGUUCUGAGCAUUAUAACGGCCAUUAAACAGCUUUUCAGUGCUAAGUAGCUCUAUAUAAGCAUUCCUAAUGCUUAUAGGCACUAUAACCAGUAAGAACCAAAUUAAGCCCUGUAAGCCUACAAGCUGUAAAGAAGUUUGUCAGUGCUGUCACAGGGCUUGGAGCACAUGACGUUUAUAUCAAUCAAAAUAGAUUUCGACCAAAACAGACUCGAGUCGGUCAUGAUCAAUACAUUUUAAACAUCCAUGUCGGACGGGAUUAUUUUUGUUGGCAUGUUUAUCGGAAUGGUGUUGUUAAAUAGAUAAUGGAAUUUGGUUAUCUUGAUUAUUCCAUUUUUUUUUCAAUCAAGACAAACUCCAGCUCGUUUCCCUCUUCUUGUGAAACGUUUCCCGACCAUUCAAACAUUGCUUCUCCUGCAUCAAUUCCUGCGUUCGUCACCACCAACCUUACCACUGAAUCAUCCUCAUCCCAUAUCAUUUUCAACCCUCGAAAUGCCCAAACUAUUUUGUUUUUCAUGGUUCAAAUACUAGUUUGAUCACACCAUUCCCAUGGUGCAUUGGUGGAGCAGAUGAGAAAGGCAACGGACUUGGACUUGAUCAGGAACUUGGAGGAAAACAGCUAGAAUCUGGAUGAAGUAGCAAAAAGUAACUUCAAUGGAAGCGAAGGAAGUUAGAAAAGAACAGAAGAUAAACAAUUUUUUUUUUCUUUUUUCUUUGUCUCACUUUUGACAACUUUCGCUCCAGAGACUUGGUAUGAUAUUUUAAAGUUGGCCGUAUAUCAGCCGAAUAAUUCGCCAAAAGUGGCUUUUGAGCAGCUCUAUAAGAGGAUAUAGAACCAAUUAGCUCUGUUAGCCAGGUUCUACAUUCGACUAUAGAGCCGACUUAAUGCCAUUUUUACGGCAUAAUGGUUACUUGGGUAUACUACCUAGCCGAUAAUGUCCGUGCGAGAAGCCAAAUUUGGGUUUUAUGCCGUUUACCCAAAAGUGGGUUUAUUUCAACCCACUAGGGUAUUUCGAAAGUGAACGCUAGGUAGAAAGAACUUUACGAUGGGUUGCAAUUUUCUGCCGGGAUCAAACGGAAACUACACUACAAAAAUUCCAAUGAUUUUUUCUAUAAGUUAAUACACAUGCUUGUCUGAAAAGAUUCAUUCCAACAUGUAUAAGUCACACAUAUAAGCAUUCAAUCAUUCAAAUUUUAUUAUUUAUGUGUCGAUACCACAUAACCAACAUCUAUAGAUUUUCACACAUAACUCCAAUCAGUGGGAAAUGAACCUACGACUAGCAUGAACGUUGUUGUUAUUGCGCCAUUUUUUCAAGGAUCGUGCUACGAAAAGAAUUCUUUGGAGAUUUGCGGGAUCACGGAACAGUCUACGCGAAUCCCUAACAUUUCGGUGGUGCGGCUACAAGGAUCUACAUGUUGAUGCCAGCCGGAACAUGUCGCGGCCAUCUUCGAUAUGCGGGAGGAACAGGAUAGUUUUCAAGAGCAGCACCGAGAGCUGCACCACAACAAGAAGAUUGUGUCAGACCCGAUAAUUUACAACACAUCACCUGGACAGUGGUCUCAGCGGAGCUUCCGCCGACGUGCUAUGCAAACAUCGAUAUGGAACCACAAGUUGCCCCAAUCGACAACUCCAGGCGACUCCACGUUUAAGCUGCUUUUGUUCAAACUUUAUCUACGAAAUUUGUGUUUUAGAAAUAAAUAUUGCGGGUACCAUAACUGUACCAAAACUUUCGCAAUUUAUUGUUUAAAAUAAAUAUUGAAAAGAG